CCAAGUUAGAUAAAAAAGAUAUUGAAGAUUGCAGCCUUGAGUUGGAUUAUGGCACGGAGUAUGGGCUCCACUACGACAUGUACAGAAACGGAUUACCUAAACUGUUCAAGAAAAGGCAUGACAAUCCACAACCCACCAAAGACCUGGUAAAUGAAUUCUGCAAAAACUGAAAACCAAACUAAGUUAAAUAAAUUAUUAUGUUCCUA